rnacentral:tRNA from 1 species
GUCCCCCUAGCUCAAUUGGCAGAGCACACGGCUUACAUCCGUGGGGUUAGAGGUCCGAGUCCUCUGGGGGGCA